rnacentral:misc_RNA from 1 species
GUUUUUAUUUUAUAAUAAAAUAAAAGUUCAGACAAAAUUAAAAUUAUAGGCAAAGGUCAGACAGGAACCCCCCUCUCUUUCCCUAACAGAGAAAGAGAAAAGAGGAACCCUACGGCAAAGGCCCGAAAGCCCUGCCGGUGUGGAUACGGAUUUUAAGAAUGUGUCCGUAUGGAUUCGAACAAUUCUGUAAUGAUCCUUCCGCAGGUUCACCUACGGAAA